ACGGAGAAUAUGGGCGUGCAUGGUUUUGUGCACGGUUUUGUGGCUGGGGUUUGCCGAGUGCGAUGGUUUGUCGUCGCCGCCCUGGCUUGCUGGCGUGGAAGAGUCGUAUUGGAUUGUGUGGUGUGGUGCGUGCUGUUGGGUUCCCUGGCCGCCACCGGCCCCUGGUGUGGGGUGUGGUUGCCAGUGUGUCCCCCAGGGUCGGUUGCCCGGGUGCCUUGUUGGUGCG
rnacentral:misc_RNA from 1 species